GACCGCGUAGCUCAGUUGGCAGAGCAUUGGGCUAGUAUUCCAAAGGUCGUAGGCUUGAUCCCCACCGUGGUCA
rnacentral:tRNA from 1 species